rnacentral:tRNA from 1 species
UCCUCUUUAGCUCAGUUGGUAGAGCAUACGACUGUUAAUCGUAUGGCCGUUGGUUCGAGUCCAACAGGAGGAG